rnacentral:rRNA from 2 species
GGGUUGUGAGGUUAAGCGACUAAGCGUACACGGUGGAUGCCCUGGCAGUCAGAGGCGAUGAAGGACGUGCUAAUCUGCGAUAAGCGCCGGUAAGGUGAUAUGAACCGUUAUAACCGGCGAUUUCCGAAUGGGGAAACCCAGUGUGACUCGUCACACUAUCAUUAACUGAAUCCAUAGGUUAAUGAGGCGAACCGGGGGAACUGAAACAUCUAAGUACCCCGAGGAAAAGAAAUCAACCGAGAUUCCCCCAGUAGCGGCGAGCGAACGGGGAGGAGCCCAGAGCCUGAAUCAGCAUGUGUGUUAGUGGAAGCGUCUGGAAAGGCGCGCGAUACAGGGUGACAGCCCCGUACACAAAAGCGCAUGUGUUGUGAGCUCGAUGAGUAGGGCGGGACACGUGGUAUCCUGUCUGAAUAUGGGGGGACCAUCCUCCAAGGCUAAAUACUCCUGACUGACCGAUAGUGAACCAGUACCGUGAGGGAAAGGCGAAAAGAACCCCGGCGAGGGGAGUGAAAAAGAACCUGAAACCGUGUACGUACAAGCAGUGGGAGCCCCACCACUAAGCCAGUGGUGAACUCCACAUACGCAUCCUUUGCUGAAGGUGCGGUUAACGGAGCGCAAGCGACGUUCAACCUCAAAAGAAGCAGAGGGGGCUUAGUGGUGGGGUGACUGCGUACCUUUUGUAUAAUGGGUCAGCGACUUAUAUUCUGUAGCAAGGUUAACCGCAUAGGGGAGCCGGAGGGAAACCGAGUCUUAAU